rnacentral:rRNA from 1 species
GACGAACGCUGGCGGCGCGCCUAACACAUGCAAGUCGAACGGAGCUGCGAGAAGCUUGCUUUUCUUAGCUUAGUGGCGAACGGGUGAGUAACGCGUGAGUAACCUGCCCUGGAGUGGGGGACAACAGUUGGAAACGACUGCUAAUACCGCAUAAGCCCACGAUCCGGCAUCGGAUUGAGGGAAAAGGAUUUAUUCGCUUCAGGAUGGACUCGCGUCCAAUUAGCUAGUUGGUGAGGUAACGGCCCACCAAGGCGACGAUUGGUAGCCGGACGGAGAGGUUGAACGGCCACAUUGGGACUGAGACACGGCCCAGACUCCUACGGGAGGCAGCAGUGGGGGAUAUUGCACAAUGGGGGAAACCCUGAUGCAGCGACGCCGCGUGGAGGAAGAAGGUUUUCGGAUUGUAAACUCCUGUCGUUAGGGACGAUAAUGACGGUACCUAACAAGAAAGCACCGGCUAACUACGUG